rnacentral:tRNA from 1 species
GGAGAGGUGGGCGAGUGGUUUAAGCCAGACAGAGAAAACUGUAAGGUUUUCUCUGUCCACACGAUUUAUCGUGUCGUAGGUUCGAAUCCUGCUCUCUCCG